UUGUGGGUAAGGCCACAAGCAAACCAGUAGGGCUUGAAAGAAGGCCCCGAGAUGGGGAAUGAGACCCGGACCCAGCCCCUAUGGGGCGCAGCAGGCGAGAAACCUCUGCAAUGUGCGAAAGCACGACAAGGUUAAUCCGAGUGUCUCCUGCUAAAGGAGUCUUUUGUCAGUUGUAGAAUCACUGGUGAAUAAGGGGUGGGCAAGUUCUGGUGUCAGCCGCCGCGGUAAAACCAGCACCUCGAGUGGCCAGGAGGUUUAUUGGGCCUAAAGCAUCCGUAGCCGGUUGCAUAAGUUUUCGGUUAAAUCUAUGCGCUUAACGUAUAGGCCGCCGAAAAUACUGUGCAGCUAGGGAGUGGGAGAGGUACACGGUACUCGAUAGGAAGGGGUAAAAUCCUUUGAUCUAUUGAAGACCACCUGUGGCGAAGGCGGUGUACCAGAACACGUUCGACGGUGAGGGAUGAAAGUUGGGGGAGCAAACCGGAUUAGAUACCCGGGUAGUCCCAGCUGUAAACGAUGCAGACUCGGUGAUGCAUUGGCUUGUGGCCAAUGCAGUGCCGCAGGGAAGCCGUUAAGUCUGCCGCCUGGGAAGUACGUACGCAAGUAUGAAACUUAAAGGAAUUGGCGGGGGAGCACCACAAGGGGUGAAGCCUGCGUUCAAUUGGAUUCA
rnacentral:rRNA from 1 species